rnacentral:rRNA from 1 species
CCUACGGGAGGCAGCAGUGGGGGAUAUUGCACAAUGGGGGAAACCCUGAUGCAGCGACGCCGCGUGUGGGAAGACGGUCCUCUGGAUUGUAAACCACUGUCCCCAGGGACGAAAAUGACGGUACCUGGGGAGGAAGCUCCGGCUAACUGCGUGCCAGCAGCCGCGGUAAUACGUAGGGAGCGAGCGUUGUCCGGAAUUACUGGGUGUAACGGGAGCGUUGGCGGGGAUGCAAGUUGGUUGUAAAAACUACGGGCUCACCUGGGAGUCGCACUCAACACUGCCGCUCUUGAGUGGAGUAGAGGCAGGCGGAAUUCCUAGUGUAGCGGUGAAAUGCGUAGAUAUUAGGAGGAACACCAGUGGCGAAGGCGGCCUGCUGGGCUUUUACUGACGCUGAGGCUCGAAAGUGUGGGGAGCAAACAGGAUUAGAUACCCGAGUAGUC